rnacentral:misc_RNA from 1 species
AACGCACGAGACCUGCGGACCUGCGGAAGGAUCAUUAUUGAUUUUAACAGGAUGUGCUGGCUCUCAAGGGGGCAAUGUGCACUCCUAAUAAAACCAAUAUCCACCUGUGCACCUUAAGUAGACUAGUAGGACUCAUCACAGUCUUUCCAGUCUAUGUUCCUUCACAAACUUUUUUUGAAAUGUAAAUGAAUGAUCAUAUGUAUAAUUAAUAACAACUUUUAGCAACGGAUCUCUAGAUCG